UACGGAGGGUGCAAGCGUUAUCCGGAUUCACUGGGUUUAAAGGGUGCGUAGGAGGGCAGGUAAGUCAGUGGUGAAAUCUCCGAGCUUAACUUGGAACUGCCGUUGAUACUAUCUGUCUUGAAUACCGUGGAGAUGAGCGGAAUAUGUCAUGUAGCGGUGAAAUGCUUAGAUAUGACAUAGAACACCAAUUGCGAAGGCAGCUGGCUACACAAAUAUUGACACUGAGGCACGAAAGCGUGGGGAUCAAACAGG
rnacentral:rRNA from 1 species